AUCGCUUCUCGGCCUUUUGGCUAAGAUCAAGUGUAGUAUCUGUUCUUAUCAGUUUAAUAUCUGAUACGUCCCCCAUCGGGGGACUAUACAUAUUAAAUGGAUUUUUCGAACAGGGAGUCGGAAGCGGGGCUUGCUCCGGUCCGCUCCAAGCAUCGACUCGGUAUUGCAGUACCUCCGAGAACGGUGCACCCUCU
rnacentral:snRNA from 1 species